rnacentral:rRNA from 1 species
UACAGAGGGUGCGAGCGUUGUCCGGAAUCACUGGGCGUAAAGGGCGCGUAGGUGGCGCGACAAGUCAGUGGUGAAAGCUCGGCGCUUAACGCCGAGUCGGCCACUGAUACUGUCGGGCUCGAGCACUGUAGAGGCAGAUGGAAUUCCGGGUGUAGCGGUGGAAUGCGUAGAGAUCCGGAAGAACACCGGUGGCGAAGGCGGUCUGCUGGGCAGUAACUGACGCUGAGGAGCGAAAGCGUGGGGAGCGAACAGG